CUGCCCAUUGAAUUAAAUUUAAAAGACUGCAGUAUAUUGACUGUACAAAGGUAGCAAAAUCAAUAGUUUUUUAAUUGAAAACUUGAAUGAAAGAAUUGAUAAAA